CUGGCCGUGUUAGGCUUCGCUGGCGUAAAGUCCCCGGGAGUUCUGGCCCUCACGGAGAACGUUAGUUGACCCUGAUGGGGACCCGUAGGGUAAAGGUUUUGUUUUUGUUUUUUUUAAGGAAAAGGUGGCCCGAGUGUGGUUAGGCCUCUUGGGAAGCUGCGACAAAACUCGAGUUAGACAAGGAAGGUCGGAACUAAGUGGUCACAGCAACAAUGCACCAGCAAGCAGGGAGCGUGAUAGGAAGAGCUAAAGAGGAGUCGGGAAACCCUGGGUAAAAGUCGUCCAAGUGGAACUUCGUUUGGUCGGGGGUCUGAUACUCGAAGGAAACGGUCUUUCACUUCUGGGUUAGGGCGUCCGCCCACAGGGCGACUGCAAUGAAGGAAAUUGUGCCCUGCGACUUCCCGUAACAGAGCUGUGUGUCCACGCUCCCUUUUCCGAGCAGGCGCGGACUUUUGUGCCGGAAGUAAACUUGUUAAUGGUUCUUUGCCUUUUGGGGAGGGGAGAUAGCCCCGAGAAGGCUUCGGAGACCCUUGAGUCGGCCAGCGAGCAGGGUUUCGUACUUGAGCGCCUCCACAAAUAAACGCUCCUUCGCUCUUCCGUCGCGUGCGUUUCCCUGGGAUAAUAAGUGGGAAAGUAGUGGCUUUUAUUUUUUUGAGACAGGGCUCACCGCCGUCGCCCAGGCUGGAUGGAGUGCAAUGGCGUGAUCACGGCUCACUGCAGCCUCGACUUCACAGGCGCAGAGAUGGGUUUCACCAUGUUUCCCAGCCUUGUGUCAAACUCCUGACCUCAAGUGAUCCGCCGUCUUGGGUCUUCGAAAGUGCUGGGACUGCAGGAAUGAGCCACCGCAUCUGGCCCGGAAAGUGUUUUGGAGGGUAGAAAACUGCAAAUUAUAGGACUGCCUUCAAGGAUCCCGAAGGACCCACAGAUUUGCCGCAUCGGGCUCCUAUGCGCGCCGCUAAUUUCAUGUGUUGAGAUGCACUGCCCAGUGCGUUGUUUUUACUGGAGGAGCUUGUGUGCGGAGCUCCUUGCUAGUGUCAUGUGUAUGUGUUGGGAUGGGAGAGAAGUGCAGGAGAACUAUGAGAUAAUGCCCCCUGAUCCUCAGGGUCUUAGGAGGUAUGGUCGGAGAGGCUAAGCUAAAGCAUGAAAGCCAUGUGUAGGCCCUUCUGUGUAGUGCAGAAAAGGGAGAGGUAUGUGGUUUGAAAGAGUAGGGAUGACAUGGAGGGUGCGACUCCUGGUUGGAUCUAUGAACUAGUGUCCUUGUGACGAAAGUACAUGCAACCUUUUGAAAAUGGAUGGGUGAUAAUGAAAGACCAUUCCAGAGAAGAAACACCAUGGUGCAAAGGCUCAAGAGGCAUACUGGAAGUACAAUGAAGAGAGCAAUCUAACUGAAAUGGGAAAAAAAGAAAUAGUGUAAAAAGAUUUGAUGAGAAAGAUGGAAUCGAUUUUUAAAUUUUUUUAUCUACACAACAAAAUUUAUCAUCUUAACCAUUUUUUAGUGAAUAAUUCGUUAGUAUUAAGUAUAUUUACCUUGUGCAACCAGUCUCCAGAAUUCUUUUCAUCUUGCAAAACAAACUCCUCACCCAUUAAACAAUUUCUCAUUCGCCGUUUUCCAGCUAGCCUUGGUAACCUCCAUUCUAGUUCUGUCUCUAUGAAUUUGACUACUUUAGGUACCUCAUGUAAGUGGUAUCAUACAGUAUUUGUCUUUUUGUGACUGGCAUAUUUUACAUAGCAUAAUCUCCUUGUGGUUUAUCCAUGUUGUAGCAUGUGUCAGAAUUUCUUUUCCUUUUAAGACUAAAUAAUAUUCCAUUGUAUGUAUAUAC